UACGAAGGGGGCUAGCGUUGCUCGGAAUUACUGGGCGUAAAGCGCACGUAGGCGGUCUUUUAAGUCGGGGGUGAAAUCCUGGAGCUCAACUCCAGAACUGCCUUCGAUACUGGAAGACUUGAGUCCGGGAGAGGUGAGUGGAACUGCGAGUGUAGAGGUGAAAUUCGUAGAUAUUCGCAAGAACACCAGUGGCGAAGGCGGCUCACUGGCCCGGUACUGACGCUGAGGAGCGAAAGCGUGGGGAGCAAACAGG
rnacentral:rRNA from 1 species